AUUGAACGCUGGCGGCAGGCUUAACACAUGCAAGUCGAACGGUAACAUAAAGAAGCUUGCUUCUUUGAUGACGAGUGGCGGACGGGUGAGUAAUGCUUGGGAAUCUAGCUUAUGGAGGGGGAUAACUACGGGAAACUGUAGCUAAUACCGCGUAGAAUCGAGAGGUGAAAGUGUGGGACCUUCGGGCCACAUGCCAUAGGAUGAGCCCAAGUGGGAUUAGGUAGUUGGUGAGGUAAAGGCUCACCAAGCCGACGAUCUCUAGCUGGUCUGAGAGGAUGACCAGCCACACUGGGACUGAGACACGGCCCAGACUCCUACGGGAGGCAGCAGUGGGGAAUAUUGCGCAAUGGGGGCAACCCUGACGCAGCCAUGCCGCGUGAAUGAAGAAGGCCUUCGGGUUGUAAAGUUCUUUCGGUAGCGAGGAAGGCAUUUAGUUUAAUAGACUAGGUGAU
rnacentral:rRNA from 1 species